rnacentral:rRNA from 1 species
UACGUAGGGGGCUAGCGUUGUUCGGAAUGACUGGGCGUAAAGGGCGCGUAGGCGGUUUGGUAAGUGAGGCGUGAAAGCCCUGGGCUUAACCCAGGAGGUGCGUUUCAUACUGCCAGACUUGAGUACGAGAGAGGAAAGCGGAAUUCCUAGUGUAGAGGUGAAAUUCGUAGAUAUUAGGAAGAACACCAGUGGCGAAGGCGGCUUUCUGGCUCGUAACUGACGCUGAGGCGCGAAAGCGUGGGGAGCAAAC